rnacentral:rRNA from 1 species
GUACACUCCUGCGGGAGGCAGCAGUGGGGAAUUUUGGACAAUGGGCGAAAGCCUGAUCCAGCAAUGCCGCGUGAGUGAAGAAGGCCUUCGGGUUGUAAAGCUCUUUUGUCAGGGAAGAAACGGUGAGAGCUAAUAUCUUUUGCUAAUGACGGUACCUGAAGAAUAAGCACCGGCUAACUACGUGCCAGCAGCCGCGGUAAUACGUAGGGUGCAAGCGUUAAUCGGAAUUACUGGGCGUAAAGCGUGCGCAGGCGGUUUUGUAAGUCUGAUGUGAAAUCCCCGGGCUCAACCUGGGAAUUGCAUUGGAGACUGCAAGGCUAGAAUCUGGCAGAGGGGGGUAGAAUUCCACGUGUAGCAGUGAAAUGCGUAGAUAUGUGGAGGAACACCGAUGGCGAAGGCAGCCCCCUGGGUCAAGAUUGACGCUCAUGCACGAAAGCGUGGGGAGCAAACAGGAUUAGAAACCCGGGUAGUCCCAUG